UACGUAGGGACCAAGCGUUGUUCGGAUUUACUGGGCGUAAAGGGCGCGUAGGCGGCGUGUUAAGUCAGCUGUGAAAUCUCCAAGCUUAACUUGGAACGGUCAGCUGAUACUGAUGUGCUAGAGUGCAGAAGGGGCAAUCGGAAUUCUUGGUGUAGCGGUGAAAUGCGUAGAUAUCAAGAGGAACACCUGAGGUGAAGACGGGUUGCUGGGCUGACACUGACGCUGAGUGCGCGAAAGCUAGGGUAGCAAACGGG
rnacentral:rRNA from 1 species